GGUGUUGCUUUCUCUACUCCCCUUUUUUUGUUGUGGCAUCGUAGAUUAGGACAUGUGUCCAGCCCAAGACUUAGAUAUUUUAUUUCUACUGGAAUGUUGGGGUCUGUACCUAACAUUGACAUUUCUACUUGUAUGGAUUGCAAGCUGAGAAAAGACUCGGCCCUUCCUUUAUUAAUAUUAAAGACACUUUUUCUACUUCUUUUUUUGAUCUUGUGUCCGAAACCCAUUCUGCCUCUCUGUUAUUGAAAGGAGGCAGUAUAUGUCAUUUUUGACAGAAGAAUGAAAAAAUUGACUAAAAUCAAGGUUUUCUGUUCUUCUUCUUGAGGUGAAUAUAUCUCCGCUG
rnacentral:lncRNA from 1 species